UAUGUGAUCGUCUCUCGCAUAUCAAUAAGCGGAGGAAAAGAAACUAACAAGGAUUCCCCUAGUAACGGCGAGUGAAGCGGGAAGAGCUCAAAUUUGAAAUCUUAAAGGGUUUCCCUUUACGAAUUGUAGUUUAAAGAAGUGUUUUCUGUUGAGGUUUUGGUAAAAGUUCUUUGGAAUAGGACAUCAUAGAGGGUGAGAAUCCCGUAUUUGACCUUUACUUUCAACUUUGUGAUACACUUUCAAAGAGUCGGAUUGUUUGGGAAUGCAGUCCAAAAUGGGUGGUAAAUUUCAUCUAAAGCUAAAUAUUGGCGAGAGACCGAUAGCGAACAAGUACCAGUGAGGGAAAGAUGAAAAGAACUUUGAAAAGAGAGUUAAACAGUACGUGAAAUUGUCAAAAGGGAAGCGUUUGACACCAGUGUUGUUUUUCUGAAAAUCAAUUAAAGAACUGUUUAUGCUAAGUUGUUUAGACUUUAUCAGCUAUCUGUUUAGUUUUGAGCUUUUCUUUAAUGCACUUUUCAGUUAACAAGUCAACAUCAAUUUCUUUUGCUGUAAAAAAGCUUGAGGAAGGUGGCUUGAGAUUCGUCUUAAGUGUUUAUAGCCUCUUGCUUAUGCAGUCGGAGAGAUUGAGGUCUGCAGCGUAGAUCCUUCGGGACUAAAUGCAUUUGUGCUAAGUUAUAGCAUUUUAUAGACAACUUGUUGACUAUGAUUUGUCUUGUAGCUUACUCGCUUAUGUUAUUUUACCUACGCUUAGGAUGUUGACGAGACUGUCGAUCUC
rnacentral:rRNA from 1 species